AAACCACUCCUUUUGUGGACCAAACCACAAGGUAAAAUAACCUUGUUUAAAGAAAAAAAGUAAGAGUGUAUUGCAGAGGCCUUGGCUAGGUUUAUGAUGACACAGGACCUUGUCUGAACAUGAUGAUUUCAAAAUUUGAGCUUAAAAGGACACUCUGAAAUCCAGUCAAUGUGCCUCAAUAGACUUUUCAGAGGACAUUAUUCUUGGCAGAAAAGGUUGGCUUGACAUGUGAAAACUGAAUAGCUAGAAAUGGCAGGUGUAGUCAUACACUUUGCCAGUUCUUCAAACAUCCCUUUUUUUCUUUUCAUAGAUUUUUCUGAGCUAAUUAUUUUCUCUUUUUUCUUUUUUUUAUAUAUACAUAUAUAUACAUAUGUGUGUGUAUAUAUGUGUGUGUGUGUGCCCACACACACUGUUCAAAGCAAAAAUGGGAACUCACCCUUGGAUCUCAGAAGGCACACAGGUGGCGAGAUGGAAACAAAGACAUAUAAAAAGGAAGCUGCCACCUCUUGGAUCAAACAUUGAAUGACAGAGUUCUAGGUGUCUAAGUGAUGUCCAGAAAGAAUAUUUAUGGAACACAUAUGAAACGCAAUGAGUGUGAGAUUUGAAACAUGAUGUCAACUAGAAGGUGAUGGGCUAUCAUUCAUGGACAUGAAUGGAGCCUAAGAAAGAUGGACAAAGGAUUUCAUCCAGGAACUUAGAAUCUUUUUUGCACAAUAGAUACUCCAAUAUAGAUGGCUGUUUUGGAGCUACCUUUCAUAUUGAAACUUCUAACUGGUCCCCUUACUUCUAGCUUCAGAUUCUCUAAUUGAUCUGUCUGCCAUAGCAGUCUUUGGGAAAGAUGACGAAACCACAUCAUGUCCUUUAUAAAUCUGCAGUUGACAUGUUUUAAAAGUGUUAGAAAUAAGCAAUAAUAAUCAGAGAAGAGGACAAAGAUUAUAUAAACUGAUAAUAUUUAGAGCAUCUUUUGCCACUGUCAAAACUGGAAAUUUUCCAGUUCUAGUGGCUGAACAUUUGGAUUCAUAAAUUUCAGACACUCCUUUCCUCUUACCCUUUGAUCCAUAAGAAUCUCAAGAAAUUUGCACAGCAAGAUACAAUGUGAUUGCAACCCAGGAUGAUUUUAGGGUAGUUUCGCAAACCAUUUUUCUGUUAACAUAGAUGAGCAGAUUUUUCUGGAGUAUCCUGAGCAAUGGUACUUAUGGACUGCUAAGGAAGUCUACACCUCAUACCAAUUUAAGGGGUCUUUGGCCAGGGCCCUCCUGUAGAGACAUUUUCUAGAUCUUUUAAUCUGUAUUGAUUUGCCUGAUCCAACAGCAUCACGACACCAUCUCUCAUUCCAGGUUUCUCCCCAAGAUUCAAGUGUGUGAAGGGUAUCUACUGAAUUGAAAAUUAUUUCAGCUGGGUGAAACUUGAAGUAUUGGCUAGUCUGUACAAACUCAAGUAAACAUAAGCUAACCCUGUAGGAAUAUGGGGGUAGGAAGGGAAGGACAACAGAUCUUGAGCUUAGCUGGAAGCUUCACCAGCUUUAAAAUUACAGACAAAAUAGAGAUUUAUACUGGCCUGUACUUCAUCUUGGCUCUUGUAUAUUUUCAUUUCAUUGGCAAUCUUUGGAUUGGUGGGGUGGAAUAUUUUCCUUGCCAUGGAAUAUCAACUUGCUUUUGAAAGUUACCAGUAAAAAGCCCUAUAUAUGUUGCAUUUUUAUGCAUAUGUGAUAAACCUUAUUUUCCCCCACGGCAUUUUAAAACAACUUGAAAUCUAAUCCCAUUAACUAAUUAACUGGAUAUAUGUACCUUAUGAAUUUAUUUAAAUACUUAGAAAAAUUGUGUUUGGGUAACGGUAUUGAAAUUAAAAUACUCAGUGAAUGAUGAA